UUGUUGUGCGAUACGGCGAU
rnacentral:siRNA from 1 species